rnacentral:rRNA from 1 species
CCUACGGGAGGCAGCAGUGAGGAAUAUUGGUCAAUGGGCGGAAGCCUGAACCAGCCAAGUAGCGUGCAGGAUGACGGCCCUACGGGUUGUAAACUGCUUUUAUACGGGAAUAACGCGCCUUACGUGUAGGGCUUUGCAUGUACCGUAUGAAUAAGGACCGGCUAAUUCCGUGCCAGCAGCCGCGGUAAUACGGAAGGUCCGGGCGUUAUCCGGAUUUAUUGGGUUUAAAGGGAGCGUAGGCCGCAUGUCAAGCGUGCUGUGAAAUGUCCGGGCUCAACCCGGGCCUUGCAGCGCGAACUGGGGUGCUUGAGUCCGGGGAAAGCAGGCGGAAUUCGUCGUGUAGCGGUGAAAUGCUUAGAUAUGACGAAGAACCGCGAUUGCGAAGGCAGCUUGCUGCAGCGGAACUGACGCUGAUGCUCGAAAGCGCGGGUAUCGAACAGGAUUAGAUACCCGGGUAGUC